rnacentral:rRNA from 1 species
CCUACGGGUGGCAGCAGUGAGGAAUAUUGGUCAAUGGGCGCGAGCCUGAACCAGCCAAGUAGCGUGAAGGAAGACUGCCCUACGGGUUGUAAACUUCUUUUAUAAGGGAGUAAAGUGAGGCACGCGUGCCUUUUUGUAUGUACUUUAUGAAUAAGAAUCGGCUAACUCCGUGCCAGCAGCCGCGGUAAUACGGAGGAUACGAGCGUUAUCCGGAUUUAUUGGGGUUAAAGGGAGCGUAGAUGGGUGGUUAAGUCAGUUGUGAACGUUUGCGGCUCAACCGUGAAAGUGCAAUUGAUACUGGAAGUCUUGAGUACAGUUGAGGUAGGCGGAAUUCGUGGUGUAGCGGUGAAAUGCUUAGAUAUCACGAAGAACUCCGAUUGCGAAGGCAGCUUACUAAACUGCCACUGACGUUGAGGCUCGAAAGCGUGGGGAGCAAACAGGAUUAGAUACCCGUGUAGUC